rnacentral:rRNA from 1 species
UACAGAGGUGGCAAGCGUUGUUCGGAAUUACUGGGCGUAAAGGGCGCGUAGGCGGCCAUCUAAGUCAGACGUGAAAUCCCCCGGCUUAACCUGGGAACUGCGUCUGAUACUGGAGGGCUUGAGUUCGGGAGAGGGAAGCGGAAUUCCGGGUGUAGCGGUGAAAUGCGUAGAUAUCCGGAGGAACACCGGUGGCGAAGGCGGCUUCCUGGACCGACACUGACGCUGAGGCGCGAAAGCUAGGGGAGCAAACGGG